rnacentral:rRNA from 1 species
GACGAACGCUGGCGGCGUGCUUAACACAUGCAAGUCGAACGGAAAGGCCCUGCUUUUGUGGGGUGCUCGAGUGGCGAACGGGUGAGUAACACGUGAGUAACCUGCCCUUGACUUUGGGAUAACUUCAGGAAACUGGGGCUCAUACCGGAUAGGAGCUCCUGCUGCAUGGUGGGGGUUGGAAAGUUUCGGCUGUUGGGGAUGGACUCGCGGCUUAUCAGCUUGUUGGUGGGGUAGUGGCUUACCAAGGCUUUGACGGGUAGCCGGCCUGAGAGGGUGACCGGCCACAUUGGGACUGAGAUACGGCCCAGACUCCUACGGGAGGCAGCAGUGGGGAAUAUUACACAAUGGGCGGAAGCCUGAUGCAGCAACGCCGCGUGCGGGAUGACGGCCUUCGGGUUGGAAACCGCUUUCGCCUGUGACGAAGCGUGAGUGACGGUAAUGGGUAAAGAAGCACCGGCUAACUACGUG